rnacentral:rRNA from 1 species
GUUGACCUCAAAUCAGGUAAGACUACCCGCUGAACUUAAGCAUAUCAAUAAGCGGAGGAAAAGAAACCAACAGGGAUUGCCUCAGUAACGGCGAGCGAAGCGGCAAAAGCUCAAAUUUGAAAUCUGGCUCCUUUGGAGUCCGAGUUGUAAUUGAAGAAGGCAUCUUUGGUAGUGGCUCUUGCAUAUGUUCCUUGGAAUAGGACGUCAUAGAGGGUGAGAACCCCGUA